CCACAAUAGCUCAACAAAACAAACGAAGAGCUUCCACGAUACUCCCCUUAGGGUUUCGGACAAGCGGCAUUCGCGAGUACCUCGCCAGAGUCGUGAGCCCCUUCUUGCCUGUCCUCAGAUCUCUAUCCACGGCGGCUUCCGCUGCUGCUCUGUUUGCACUCUUUCCAUGGCGGUUCCAGGCCCUUACUCCGGCGUCAGCACCCUUGCUUUCGUAGCUCGUGCCUCUGCCUUUACCUUUGGCGUUGUUUAUGGGAGUAUGAAGCUCUCCUAUCUCAAGGCGAAGGCAAAGUCUCACAGCAAGGCGGAGGCAAAGGGUCAUCACUGAAUGAAGGGAUGCAGCCUGUCGAUGAUCUCUGAUAAGAAUCCAGCGACAGAAUUUUUGUUAUCACUAUUGUUUUUUUUUUUUUUUUUUGCAGCAUACUUCACUGCGUGCAGGUUCAUGCUUUGUUUAAGGUUUGCUCAAAAACUCCCAUAUCGAACCAAGGGGAGGAUGUUUUGACAUGCUACGUCCUGUCCUGAAAUAAUGGUUAUUCUUGAUGACAGAAGUUGAAAGUAGAUUUUCUGUAAUUUGACGUCGAAUUAGGUUUCAGUCGGGUAUUGUUUUCGGUUGUAUGUUUUAAUUGAGAAUCACCAGCUGAGAAUUGAUAAGCUUAAUCAAAGAGUUGGGAGCCUCAUUGGGUUCCAUUGCUCAGCCAUCAGAUUUAACUCCAAAACUACAACCGAAGCCAUACCACCUUUCCAAGCUGUUAGAACUUGAAAAAGUUCCACUUCUCUGCAUGUUUGCCUGACCACUUGGGUGUGGUAUUGGCUGCAAUUUUUAUUUGUUCGCCAUCCAGGGAGAGAUGAUAACCUUUUUUUCCUGUUUUUCAGAGAAAAUGGAAGUAACCAUUUUGUUACUGCUGUUUUUCCGUAAGCAAAUAUCGGCAAAACGCUUGGAGCUGGUACUAAUUUCAAUAGAGUUUUGACAGAAAGCAUGUGGUUCUAGAGAUGAACACACUUUAUUGAGUGUUGGCGUGUUGCCAUAAAAUUAAUGUUCAACAAUGAAGGCCUUCGUCAUGGUUUAAUGUGGGAAAAUGGUUGGAUGUGCAUGUAUAUCUGAAGCUAUAUCAUAACUAGGUGAUCCUUAAACAGGUUAUAGCCUAAGGAAUGUUCAUUGCGUUUAAGUAAAAAAAAAAAAAAACGCCGACUACCAUUGGUAUGUUCAUCUAGCUAUCUAGAGUGCAAAAAAGAGAUGAUCGCAGGGAGACAUGUCACGCAAACUUGGACAUAAACUCCCAGAGAUCAAGGCAUCACGAACGUCCUUUAUAUAUACAUAUAUAAAAUAAACUUGGAUUUUUUUUUUCCGGUUUGAGAGAUCAGCGGUGGAAGAACUUUCUAGAAAAUUUUUAUGUACGUGGUUCAAAGAUGCAGUUAUUUAUUAUAUUGAUUUAAGGAGAUGGCUUCGUCCAUACGGUUAUCCCGUUCCGGUUGAGCCCCGAAUAAAAUAAAAAAAAAAAUCUUCGCAGUUGCUGGGACGGUGAGCAAAGAUAUUUUGAAAGGCGAUUUCACGUCCGCUAGAAAAAGGCUGGAGCAAACCGAAGUGAAAGAGGAUUUCACGUCCGCCAGAAAAAGGCUUUUGGGACCGCACUGCCGCGUCAACCCCAUUACAGCGUGGGUGCGCGUCCGUUAUUGGAAAACGACGAAGGCGCGUCCGUUAUUGGAAAUUUCCACCGAUUCCUUUGUAGAUAAGACGGGCUUGCUUUGAUGCUGCAGGGGAGGUAGGAACUCAUUUAGGUUAUGGCCGCCGAGAUACUUGAAAGAGCUGCUUCCACCGAUGGAGUCUUGGAAUGACAUGAGAAAUAAGGUGCGCGUCAUCUAUUUUUUUUUUUGGUCCAAGGUGUUUAUAGAUGAAGUAUGUCGGGAAGUGAUUUCAUUUUUAAGGGCUUGCUGUAGAGGAUUGAAGUGCAAUCUUGAGUGCUAGCUGUUUUCUCAAAAAUCUUGUGUGGUAGCUCUCUUUAUUCCUCAAGGAAAAAGUGUGAGAGGAGUGGUAGGUCUGCUGAACAGCGUUCGGCCCCAUGGAGAUCGGGGUAUGGAUGACCUGCUUCACUGUAGAUCUAUGCAGAAGAAGAUUUGAUUGUAAAGAGAGUGCUACGAUUUGGAGGAUUCGAAGGGAUGGCAAAAACAUGGAAUCUUGCUUCCUCAUCAAAACUAAAUUGGGCAUGGGAGGUUUCGGCAAAAAUAUGAUUAUGCAGCUGGUCCACUGGAGAAAAAAAUAGUUAUUCGUUCCUAAAUAUGAAUAGAAGUGCACUAGUCCUCGACGACAUUUGGAAUGAGAAUUAAAAAUAUUUGAUAAGUCGUUUAGAAAUCAGUAACGGAUCUAAGCAUACUAAUUUUGGAUGAUGUUUGGGAUGUACAUGCAAAAUAUUUAAUGAUAAAUGAAAGAUCCGUAUUUUUUAUUAUGAAUCUUGGUGUAUAAUUGCUGGACGAUGUUUGGAAUGAACAUGCGAAAUGUUUUAAAAGAUCAGCUGAUCAUGUAAAAGAUGCACAAUAUUUUUAUGUAUGAAAGAUCACUUUUUCGCCAAACAAAGAGUCUCUGGUCAUUUUUCGCUCACAUGAUGCACUUAUAUCAGCUACCAGUUGGAAAAUAUGCAGACUUUUGAAACAUUCUGAUGCAGAAUUUGCUAUUGAUCUUUGAUGCAAAGUUUCUAUGUAGCAGUUGGUUCUUUCUUUUAUGGCGUCCCCUAGCUCUUGCCAUGCUUGUAUGUAGUUUCAAUAUUCUUAAGCAUUCUAUGCCAAAGAGUACUUCCGAAAAAACUUUAGAGUAACCUUCUUGGCUAUGAAGAUGAUGCUAGCGACAAGCAUUAUGUGCUUUCUUGCCAUCUGCCUAGGCCCCUCAGUCAUAAUGGAAGUGAUUGAAACUAUAGGCUUUUUGGUGUAUCACGCAUCCAUUCAAAUCGUUAGCUGAUUCCAAUUUCAUUCUAGAACUUCAAAAGUGAGAAGGAACAUCGUUUAUAUAUAUUUGAGCUUAAAUGCUUCAGAUAGAGCCUCUUGCAUAAAGCGUAUGAGUAGCCACAUUGAAUGCAUGGAGAGAUUUGAGGAGGUAACUUUAUGUACUAUUAAAAAACUAUGGGUCCAUCUCUGCUUUAUAUUUGUCUUUCACAUUAUACUGCAUUAAUUUGUUGUUGUUCUUUACAAAAGAGUAUCCGGUAAGUAAACUCGAAAAAAGGAGCCAAUCAAGACGAAGUAAUCCAUGUUCACUCAUGCAUGCAACAGUGGAGGCCUAUGAAAGAUGCAUCAUGAAAAGUAAUUAUAUGUUUCAGUAUCUAACCUGCAAAUCAUGUUUUUCCUUUCAAAAUUUUUUCUCCCACAUACACACAUUUAACUACUUUUCAACUGCAUAAUCUGAAUACUUAGGUCUCUGUUGUAGUCACAGUUUUGUUAAUUUGCCAGACAAUAGACUAAAAUUUCGUAGAGAAGCGCUAUCCAAGACGGUCUCCCACGACAUGGGACAAGAUAGAUAUAAGCAUAUGUGCACUUGCAUGGAGGAGCCCCUUUCUGCUCUUUGGGGUCAAACUCCUAGCGAUGCUGGGGCCAUGAGUGGCCUCGGAGACCAAACGGCAGCUGCUUAGAAGGUACAAAUGAUGAAGGAAAAAGUGGAAUCAAUGGAUCAGAAAUACAGUAUGCUGCCCAGUCCAAAUAGUUAUCACGAUUACAAACAUGAGCUAAUGUUUCAUCUUAGGCUAGGAGUACCUGAUGGGUAACAUUUAAUUCUUGUGUUGGAUUUAGUGUCCGUUACUUAUCUAGAUGUGAUAUUGAACUACUUAUUUCUUUCUUGUACCAAAAAAAACUUGUUUCUUUCUUGGGGAUUUGAUGCAAACUAGUAAUUCAAUGAUAUAGUGUAUUAUUUACAUGUUGGCAAUGUUGACUUGUAGAAGCAUUUGUUGUCAGUUUACUUCAAUCUGAACAAGUUUCAGCUCUUAAUUCCAACUAGACAAAAAUUGAUCAUA